ACGGGUGAGUAAUGCAUCGGAACGUGCCCAGUAGUGGGGGAUAGCCCGGCGAAAGCCGGAUUAAUACCGCAUACGACCUGAGGGUGAAAGCGGGGGACCGUAAGGCCUCGCGCUAUUGGAGCGGCCGAUGUCAGAUUAGGUAGUUGGUGGGGUAAAGGCCUACCAAGCCGACGAUCUGUAGCUGGUCUGAGAGGACGACCAGCCACACUGGGACUGAGACACGGCCCAGACUCCUACGGGAGGCAGCAGUGGGGAAUUUUGGACAAUGGGGGCAACCCUGAUCCAGCCAUGCCGCGUGCGGGAAGAAGGCCUUCGGGUUGUAAACCGCUUUUGUUCGGGAAGAAAUCCUUUGGGCUAAUACCCUAGAGGGAUGACGGUACCGGAAGAAUAAGCACCGGCUAACUACGUGCCAGCAGCCGCGGUAAUACGUAGGGUGCAAGCGUUAAUCGGAAUUACUGGGCGUAAAGCGUGCGCAGGCGGUUGUGCAAGACAGAUGUGAAAUCCCCGGGCUUAACCUGGGAACUGCAUUUGUGACUGCACGGCUAGAGUACGGUAGAGGGGAGUGGAAUUCCGCGUGUAGCAGUGA
rnacentral:rRNA from 1 species